CAGUGCGGAUUAACGUCGGGGAUUAACCCUCUGUCGUCCAUCGAUACUUGCUCAAACGGCUAAGUUGUUGGCAAACUUACCUCGCCUUUCUAACCUUUGGUUCCCUUAUGGAACGAAACUAUGUGGUAAGCUCCUACCAAGGACUUCCGUGCCCUAAUCCCUGGCCUUAAUCCGCACUGGAAAUACACCCACAGGUUGCCAGGUAAAUACAUGGGCAUCAAGUUCAGUUUAUGUUCUUUCCUAAUCUCUUGCUAGCUCCCG
rnacentral:lncRNA from 1 species